rnacentral:hammerhead_ribozyme from 1 species
GUCCAGAUGACGAGUCCCCAAGUAGGACGAAAUGCGCAUCCUGGAU